AGGGGAGUAGCUCAAUUGGUAGAGCGGCGGUCUCCAAAACCGUAGGUUGCGGGUUCAAGUCCUGUCUCCCCUGCCA
rnacentral:tRNA from 1 species